CCUGAUCCUAGAGGCAUUGCAAGUGUGACUGCUGUGUCACAUGUGCGUCAGUAGGUGGCAGAGAAGAGAGAGGCUACAUCUACUCUCAAUAGCUUUGACCUGUGCUAAUGGAUUGAUUAGUAACCUAACAAU